GUCCACGCCGUAAACGAUGGGUGCUAGGUGUAUGGGGUGUCGACUCCCUCUGUGCCGAAGCUAACGCAUUAAGCACCCCGCCUGGGGAGUACGGCCGCAAGGCUAAAACUCAAAGGAAUUGACGGGGGGCCCGCACAAGCAGCGGAGCAUGUGGUUUAAUUCGACGCGACGCGAAGAACCUUACCUGGGCUUGACAUGCACGGGAAUGUCGUGGAAACACGGCAGCCCUUCGGGGCUCGUGCACAGGUGUUGCAUGGCUGUCGU
rnacentral:rRNA from 1 species